rnacentral:rRNA from 1 species
UAGUCCACGCCGUAAACGAUGAGAACUAGAUGUCGGGGGGAAUUUACUCCUUCGGUAUCGCAGCUAACGCGUUGAGUUCUCCGCCUGGGGAGUACGCCGGCAACGGUAAAACUCAAAGGAAUUGACGGGGACCCGCACAAGCGGUGGAGCAUGUGGUUUAAUUCGAUGCAACGCGAAGAACCUUACCUGCCCUUGACAUCCUCAGAACUUGUUAGAGAUAACUUGGUGCCUUCGGGAAUUGAGUGACAGGUGCUGCAUGGCUGUCGUCAGCUCGUGUCGUGAGAUGUUGGGUUAAGUCCCGCAACGAGCGCAACCCUUGUCUUUAGUUGCCAUCAUUUAGUUGGGCACUCUAGAGAGACCGCCGGUGACAAACCGGGAGGAAGGUGGGGACGACGUCAAGGUCAUCAUGGGCCCUUAUGGGGCAGGGGGCUACACACGUGCUACAAUGGGGUGGUACAGAGGGGUUGCCAAGCCGCAAGGGUGGGAGCCAAUCCCAGAAA